rnacentral:rRNA from 1 species
UGGGUAACCUGCCUCAAAGAGGGGAAUAGCCUCCCGAAAGGGAGAUUAAUACCGCACUAAUAUGUUUUGGUCACAUGGCCUUAACAUCAAAGGAAUUUCUUCGGAAAUUUCACUUUGAGAUGGACCCGCGGCGCAUUAGCUAGCUGGUGAGGUAACGGCUCACCAAGGCGACGAUGCGUAGCCGACCUGAGAGGGUGAUCGGCCACAUUGGAACUGAGACACGGUCCAGACUCUACGGGAGG